AGCAGCCGCGGUAAUUCCAGCUCCAAUAGCGUAUAUUAAAGUUGUUGCAGUUAAAAAGCUCGUAGUUGAACUUCAGGCCUGGCUGGACGGUCCGCCCUCUGGGUGAGUACUGUCUGUGGUCGGGUCCUACCUUCUGGCGAAGCGUCAUGGUCUUCAUCGGCCGUGGCGGGGAACCAGGACUUUUACUGUGAAAAAAUUAGAGUGUUCAAAGCAGGCAAUCGCUUGGAUACAUUAGCAUGGAAUAAUGGAAUAGGACAAUGGUUCUAUUUGUUGGUUUCUAGGACCGUUGUAAUGAUUAAUAGGGAUAGUUGGGGGCAUUAGUAUUCAAUUGUCAGAGGUGAAAUUCUUGGAUUUAUUGAAGACUAACUACUGCGAAAGCAUUUGCCAAGGAUGUUUUCAUUAAUCAAGACAAAAGUUAGGGGAUCGAAGACGAUCAGAUACCGUCGUAGUCUUAACCAUAAACUAUGCCGACUAGGGAUCGGAUGAUGUUAAUUUUUUAAUGACUCAUUCGGCGUCCG
rnacentral:rRNA from 1 species